rnacentral:misc_RNA from 1 species
UGUCGUGGACUAUUUUGGUUUCUCC